ACUCCCACCGCGUCCCGGCCCCUGCCCCAGGCCGGAGGGCAGAGGAAGUGCCCGGCCCCUCCCGAGGCUCUGGGGCCGCAGUGGGCUCGGGGGUGGGAGACGAGGUCCAAGCGCCGGCGAGACCCCUGCCAGCCCGGGACCUGGGCUCGGAGGCUCCCUUCCGGAUUUCCAAAAUCUGCGGAGGCAGCAUUUGUUCCGCCUCUCCCCUCUAGAGUGUGGAGACAGGAGGACGUCUGUGUAGGGAAGCACGUCGUUGGCAGACUGCUGUUUUGCCGAUGUUUAUUUGUUAUGCCAUUAUGACUGUUAGGAUUUCUCACCUGGAGUGGCUUCCGCCAUAAGCGCCGGGAUCUGGAAGGACGGCACGUUUGACUUCUGUUGUCCCAACCUCACUUGCCAGCCCUUGGCACCGCCCCAGCUUGGAUCCU
rnacentral:lncRNA from 1 species